rnacentral:tRNA from 1 species
GCCUUCGUGGUGUAGUGGUCAGCACGCUAGUGCCUAUUCGAAAGAUCCGUGGUUCGAAUCCCGGUGAGGGCA